rnacentral:lncRNA from 1 species
UAGAUCUAAAAAUUAUAAAUAAUCAAAAAAUUAUUUAUUAUAUUUUCCAAAUCUAUGUGCAAUCUUGUGUAAAUAAUUCAAUUUUAUUUAAACGACGAAAGGAUAUCCAGAUGACGAAAAUAAGUGGCUAGUACAAUUAUUUUUUCUUUUGAUUAAAAUUUAUUUUUGUAUGUCAAGAAAUAUCUCUACUAUAUUUAUAAGUUACCUAGUUAUAUCUACUAUUUUUAAACUUUUUGUUACAUUUAAACACCGUAUAAUAAUUGUUUUUGUGCAAACUUAGUUCUUUUUUUAUUUUUGUGUAACUCUUUCUAGACAAUGUUUUAAAGACCACAUAAUAUAAAUUAAUUCUAAUGUAAUUAACGAUUCAACAUUGCGCGAGUAUGAAUUGCGAUUUUAACUCGCUAAAGUUACGGUUGAACUUUGAAAGGGCUCAUAAAAUGCACGAGAUUUUAUGAUGAGAGUAUUAGAGCGUAGUUGAAAGUGCAGAUAUCUCGUGCCCGUGUCCGCAGUGGAGCGUCGUAAAUUCUACGAGCGUGUAAAGAGCGAUACUUGAAAAUAAUAAUCUUUGUAGUCACGUACGCGCGAGAUAAAUCCGCGGCUCUUAUUCUACGAUGCGAUCGUGGAGCUUAAUAACGCCUCGCGACGAAUACACGGUAAAAGGAAGUGUAAUAGAGAUGUAAAGACGACAUGCGACGACGAAGAGAUCGAAAGGAGCGGAUUGCGCGUGCGUACCGGAAGUCUACAAGGAUGAAUGUCCUCUCUUCGUUCCAUUGUUUCUGCCGUCGUAUUAUACUAGGAACAAUGAAACGCAAUAUCCGGCCAGGAAUGGUCGAAGGCGAAUGACGAGGUGAACGAAGGAGGAAAGAGGCGAGGUGAGAGAGCGAGAGACAACUUCGGAGUUUCUUCAGUCGAUUCUCUCUCUCUCUCUCUCUCUCUCUCUCUCUCUCUCGUCAGGCGGAAAGCCUAGUACAACAAUGGGGUUGCCCUUUUAUCAAUCGGCGCCAGUUGCGACCCUUUUAAACGACGAAUCAAUAAUAAAUUCUCCGCGUAAAGUGCCACCUCACCUCGCGGAAUCCUCGAUCCAUUCGCGAAUUUCUCGCGAUUCUCUCUCUCUCUCUCUUUCUCUCUCUCUCUCUCUCUCUCUUUCUCUCUCUCUCUCUCUCUCUCUUUCUCGCUCCUCGACGUCUCGUCGUCUUGGAUGAGGGGGUGGCUCGAGGCAUGAAUCUGAAGUGACGGUACGAUAAAUCAAAUUAACUCCCAAAAGUUUCGAGACUUCGACUUUCCCUCCCCCUCGUUCGCCGGCGCAGCUACUAUUUCGCGGUCGUGAUUGGAUGGUGAAACGGAACGUGAAAAAAGAGUAGACGAGGUCUCGUGUCCUUCUCCCCCCUCCUCCCGUUCCGUGUCUGAAACCCCGCGUGUGGGAUGGUAGAAACCUGGCUCGAGAGCGCUCCCGUCGUAAUUAUCGAUUCCUUACAUAAGCUACUUUUAUUAGCAUCGUAAAUAUAACAUGAAGGGGAACAGUAUAUCGUGCUUGAAGCGUUUCUUGAAAGUUCCGGCUUGAAGAAAAAGGGGGGAAAAAGUGGAAAAGGGAGGAAACUAAAGUAAAAUGGUAUCAACUCUAAAGAGGAGAAUCGCAGAUGUCUGUCGGAUCAGCAGCUGUGAAUAAAUCAAAGGAUCUUUUUACGUAAACGAAAUCUACCGUUAGUUCUACCGUUUAUUGAUUUAUUUCGAUUAUUCUGUUUUUUUUAAAUUUUUUUUUUUAACAGUCGAACGUAACCACAAUAGUUUUCAGUGCCGUCUCUCUCGUAUAUCAUACUUCCGUCAUCGGUAAUGGCAACGUAUUGAUCAAAUUUUUUAUUUCGCCUUCCCCUGGAAAUAUUUGCCCAACUCACUUGUUCCUUCGUUCGUCUCCAAGAACGAAUUCUCUUACAACGUACGUGAAAGGAGAGAGGCAGUUCUAUCAUCUCUAUCCGCCUCGCUACGCUCUCCUCUCCUUCCGCUUUCGUGAAACGCCGCCGCCGCCGCCGCCGCGACCCGCAAGCAAGUCACUCCCGUCACGCGUAUCCAGCCCCGGGAAAAAGGAAGACGUGCGUUAUUUUCUUCACGCUCGAACGUGCCGAAAUAAGGGUCGACCGGGAAAAGGUAGAGCCGGCCAUGAAGGAACGUCGGAUUCCCGAGGCGUGGCACCUCCAGAAUGGAUUCAACUAAAUUCUCACACUCGCCGAGCCGAGCUGAGCCGUGCCGAGACGCGCUGCUCGCCCCUGCCUUGUACGAGGGCGAAAAGACGGCGAGGGGAUGGAAUGGCGAAGAAGAAGAAGAAGAAAGGAAGGAAGGAGGGAGGCAAGAAACGCCGCGCGUGGUGUAAACCCGAGACGAACCAACGAGCAAAUGUGUUUAUCCACGCGACCUCCCCGCAAACGGGACCCGAACGAACGGAAAUUUCGGCGGUGUCGGGUUCGGAGGAAACGAUUCCCGGCCUUAUACGUCGGUCGGACGCGUCGUCGUCGUCGCCGGCGAGAGAAAGGGAGGAGCGAGAUCCAUCCGCGCCGGAAAGCGAUUCCCCUUCGCGGCGAGAGCGCUCGCUGGCAAGAACCGGCCGGGCGGGUGAGUAACGGGCGCGAUCGAUUAUCGAUGAUCGUGUAAGUGUCGAUAGCGGGGAGAUUGCGCCGCAAGCUGGAUAGAGGCGGCGGCGGCGGCGCAAGAACGGACGUCGUUAAAAACAGGCGAUGACAAACAGGCUGCUGGUACUCGGCGGAGGAUACGCGCGAGUUCGAUUACGGGCGGGGAUGGGAGAGAAGGAGCAAGUGUUGCGCUCACAUCAUUCAAGGAACCGCUAACGAGUCUCCUUGUCGGUCCCGCGAAAUGUGAUCGCUGCGAAUUAGGUAUCGAUCAUGUUUGUUGUAUUACAACUGUCGAUGUAACGGAGUAAUAGUUGGAAAUUGCGAGGGUAAACGCGGAAAGAAAAAGUCAAGAUACUGUGAAGACAGCUGAUGAUUAGAAGAGAUGAGGACGUGAGUGUAAACGUCGUCGUAAUCAAGGGGAACACGCUUACAGCUGAAGAAUUAGAAGAUAAUUGCGCACGAGAAUAUUCAAUGUUCAAAGAUCGCGCUACUUUGAAAUUCAAAGAUUAAUCUUGUCAACCGCAGCAUCAUCUUGUGGAGCAGGCAGACGGCAAUUUGUCCUGCUCACUCCACCACGCUCGAAUUCACCCCCGAAAUUUUACGUCGUCCGCAACCCCGUAAAUUGCGUCGUCUACUCCUCUCCGCUCAUGUUUACGCGUCCUAAGUGGCGCAAAGAGAAAGAGAGAGAGAGAGACGUUCAUGGAAAAACUUAUUCGGAGACGAGGAACGAACGUGGAUAGGAUAGGUUGAAACGGAGGCUGCGCGCGAGAUGGAACGUAGGUACAUCAAGCCGGAAGCACCGCGGUGGUGCCGUUAACAUAAAUCCAGUCAUUGCUCCCCAGACAUAAUACCCUUGUACCUUACUCCCGCGUAAUGUCAAACCGCGUCUUGUCGUAUCCUCGUCGCUUCCUAUAGUUUCCGGAGUUGCGCACCGGCGAAAAGAAAAGCUUCCGCGAUGCUUUCCGCAUCGCACGCGAUCGAGAACACGCACGGGGAAAACGGGAGUUUAGACUUGACGAGAUUUUAGCUUUUUUUUACACCUUGUACGUUAUAGCUUACGCGCCGUUUAACGCGUCUCAUUCCACUGGAUUUAUCUCGUCUCAUUUAUUUUUAUAUAUACAUAUUUUUUUAUAAUAUGUCCUUUGCGCGCGUUGAUGAGACUUUUAGAGUUCUACCUUUUCUUUGCUCACAAUCAUUUUUUUUAUUAUUUUAAGGAUUUUCUUGACUUUAAGGGUCGAUUGUUCCAACUUCUUGGUAAACUUAUCUAUCAGGUAAAUAUAUGUUUUGUUUUUAUUUAUUUAAGAAAAGAAAUGAAGAUAGACACAUGCUUAUCUGAUAGGUAAGUUUACCGAGAAGUUCGAACAAUUGAUCCUUAAGUUGGAGAAAAACGUGAAAAUAUAGAAUUCUAAAGAACAGAGAAGGCAGUUUUAGAAAAUGGUAUAAGAAGCAAAUUUCUUCAUCUAACAUCACUUACAUAAUUAAAAAAUAUCUAAAGAUAUACAUAACAUUCCAUUGGACGAUUAUCCAUUGCAACAUUGCAUGACUUUACUACAAAUAAGUAUAAAAUCUUUAUUAAAUACAAAUAGUGUGUGUAUAUCUACAAAGGAGAAAAAUAUAUAAAGAAUCUUUCUCUUGAAAUCUCAUCGCGACUCGAUACGCGGAUAUUUCCGGAGAGAGGCAGACUUGCAAACUAGCAAAAUUGUAAAGCUACAGACGAAAUGGAUGACGCUGACUUUCUCUGUCCGUGAAUGAAGGCGACGAGCAAUUUACAAAGCUUUUACCUAGUACCGAGCGAUUUUCAGAUAUUCCAACUUGCGGUACUUGUAGAAUGCGUGAGAGGUAUCUGCACGUGAAAGGAAGGCGUCUAAAAAGGAUCGAUAUUUGCAGUUGCUUUAGCGGAAGUAACUAGGAUGCACUCUCGCCGUGUGUACAUAAGUCAGUUGCCUCGUGAACGUCUCCCGUAUCCGAAAAUUACCUCAAAAACUGGUCCUUGAUUCAUCGAAUCGAUAACUCGAGCAUCUUCCAAAAGACGUUUUUAACUUUGUCAAAAUUACUAUCCGUAUCCUAAUAGAAAUUAUUGAACCUCAUAUAGCCGUUUAGUUCUGAGAUUAAAAAGCAUGUGUCUCAUGUAGUUACUAUUAGUAUAUAUCGCUUUUAAUAAUUAUAUUUUUUUUAGUAAUUUAACAUUAUCUUUUUAUUAUACUUAUUUGGUAUACAGAGGACAUUUGAUAUACACUAUUAGAACUGAAAAAUCUGUAACACAUUAUAGAUUUUAAUCACUAAAUUAGAUUUUUUUAUAAAAAAAA